rnacentral:rRNA from 1 species
ACGCACGCUGGCGGCAUGCCUAACACAUGCCAGUCGAACGAGACCUUCGGGUCUAGUGGCGCACGGGUGCGUAACGCGUGGGAACCUGCCCUUAGGUUCGGAAUAACUCCCCGAAAGGGGUGCUAAUACCGGAUAAUGUCUUCGGACCAAAGAUUUAUCGCCUUUGGAUGGGCCCGCGUUGGAUUAGCUAGUUGGUAGGGUAAAAGCCUACCAAGGCGACGAUCCAUAGCUGGUCUGAGAGGAUGAUCAGCCACACUGGGACUGAGGCACGGCCCAGACUCCUACGGGAAGCAGCAGUGGGGAAUAUUGGACAAUGGGCGAAAGCCUGAUCCAGCAAUGCCGCGUGAGUGAUGAAGGCCUUAGGGUUGUAAAGCUCUUUUACCCGGGAUGAUAAUGACAGUACCGGGAGAAUAAGCUCCGGCUAACUCCGUG